rnacentral:rRNA from 1 species
UACGUAGGCAGCGAGCGUUGUUCGGAUUUAUUGGGCGUAAAGGGCGUGUAGGCGGUUCGUUAAGUCUGAUGUGAAAGCCCCGGGCUCAACCCGGGAAGUGCAUUGGAAACUGGCGAACUUGAGUACGGGAGAGGGCAGUGGAAUUCCUAGUGUAGGAGUGAAAUCCGUAGAUAUUAGGAGGAACACCGGUGGCGAAGGCGGCUGCCUGGACCGAUACUGACGCUGAGACGCGAAAGCGUGGGGAGCAAACAGG